rnacentral:rRNA from 1 species
UUCCGGUUGAUCCCGCCGGAGGCUACCGCUAUUGGAGUUCGAUUAAGCCAUGCGAGUCGCGAGUCUUAGGGACUCGGCGUACCGCUCAGUAACACGUGGGUAACCUGCCCUAUGCUGGGGGAUAACCUCGGGAAACUGAGAAUAAUACCCCAUAGUUCACCACGCCUGGAACGGUGGGUGGACCAAAGCUCCGGCGGCAUAGGAUGGGCCUGCGGCGUAUCAGGUUGUAGGGGGUGUAAUGUACCCUCUAGCCCUCUACGCGUACGGGUGUUGAGAGACAUCGCCCGGAGAUGGAUUCUGAGACACGAAUCCAGACCCCACGGGGUGCAGCAGGCGCGAAAACUUGGCAAUGCGAGAAAUCGUGACCAGGGAACUCCAAGUGCAUCGGGUAAGACCGAUGCUUUUCUUGACUCUUCAAAGGUCUUGGAAUAAGGGGUGGGUAAGGACGGUGCCAGCCGCCGCGGUAAUACCGGCGCCCCAAGUGGUAGUCGCUUUUAUUGGGCCUAAAACGUCCGUAGCCGGUCUGGUACAUUCGUGGGUAAAUCAACCAGCUCAACUGGUUGAAUUCUGCGAGCACGGCCAGACUUGGGACCGGGAGAGGUGUGGGGUACUCUCAGGGUAGGGGUAAAAUCCUGUCAUCCUGAGAGGACCACCUGUUGCGAAGGCGCCACACUAGAACGGAUCCGACGGUCAGGGACGAAGCCUAGGGGCACGAACCGGAUUAGAUACCCGGGUAGUCCUAGGUGUAAACGCUGUGGACUUGAUGUUGGGGGCGCUCCGAGCGCACUCAGUGUCGAAGCGAAGGUGAUAAGUCCACUGCCUGGGGAGUACGGUCGCAAGGCUGAAACUUAAAGGAAUUGGCGGGGGAGCACCGCAACCUGAGGAUUGUGCGGUUUAAUUGGAGUCAACGCCGG